rnacentral:rRNA from 1 species
ACUCCUACGGGAGGCAGCAGUGGGGAAUCUUGGACAAUGGGGGAAACCCUGAUCCAGCCAUGCCGCGUGAGCGAUGAAGGCCUUAGGGUUGUAAAGCUCUUUCAGGUGGGAAGAUAAUGACGGUACCACCAGAGAAGCCCCGGCUAACNCCGUGCCAGCAGCCGCGGUAAUACGGAGGGGCUAGCGUUGUUCGGAAUUACUGGGCGUAAAGCGCACGUAGGCGGAUUGGAAAGUUGGGGUGAAAUCCC